AAAAAAAAAAGAAGAAAGAGAGACGGGCCAGCCCGAAAAGACCGGGCCCAUCCCUCUUUUUACGAUCGUGCCCUAGGCACGAUCGUGGAUGAAAGGAGGGUGCAAAGGGGGGCGGCGACGGCGCUCGGGUGAUCGUCGGAGGGGACCAAACAUCGGAGUCGAGACGGAGCGCCGAGAUCCGGCCGGCCGUGGGGGAAAACUCUAAAGCCUUUCCUUCGGAGAAGACCUUCCAUAGAUCGGUGAUUUGUUCACAGAUUCUUCCAUCCAUCUCUCGCCAGAAAGCUCGCCGGAGCAUCCCGCCGGACCGAGAGGAAGAGUCGGCGGUGCCAGGAGAUUUUGAUCAGGAGACUCAGCACCCCAGCGCGUAGGUUGUGAUUCGGACCGUGUUUGAGUCAGUCUACAAUUUCUAGUUGCAGGAUGCAUAGACAUGAAUGGGAUGAGCGCAGAGUGCGAGUAUGAGAGUCAUUAGUUGCUUAGUCUAUCUUGAUAUCAAUGAAUAUUGAAAGCUUUUGUAAAUGAACCAAUUUGAUUAUCUGGUCAUGUUGGAUUUAUAUAUUUGAUUUAAGUGAUUAACUGUGGAA